CCUGAUGGAGGGGGAUAACUACUGGAAACGGUAGCUAAUACCGCAUAACGUCGCAAGACCAAAGAGGGGGACCUUCGGGCCUCUUGCCAUCGGAUGUGCCCAGAUGGGAUUAGCUAGUAGGUGGGGUAACGGCUCACCUAGGCGACGAUCCCUAGCUGGUCUGAGAGGAUGACCAGCCACACUGGAACUGAGACACGGUCCAGACUCCUACGGGAGGCAGCAGUGGGGAAUAUUGCACAAUGGGCGCAAGCCUGAUGCAGCCAUGCCGCGUGUAUGAAGAAGGCCUUCGGGUUGUAAAGUACUUUCAGCGGGGAGGAAGGGAGUAAAGUUAAUACCUUUGCUCAUUGACGUUACCCGCAGAAGAAGCACCGGCUAACUCCGUGCCAGCAGCCGCGGUAAUACGGAGGGUGCAAGCGUUAAUCGGAAUUACUGGGCGUAAAGCGCACGCAGGCGGUUUGUUAAGUCAGAUGUGAAA
rnacentral:rRNA from 1 species